rfam:Myotis brandtii contig295091, whole genome shotgun sequence.
GGUGGUUCUCAAAUGACACAUCCCAGAAUCGGGCUCCCUCCUCUCUGGUUCUGGGUGCGUCACCCGAGAAUCGCA